rnacentral:rRNA from 1 species
AGAGUUUGAUCAUGGCUCAGGACGAACGCUGGCGGCGUGCUUAACACAUGCAAGUCGAACGGUGAACUCCGCUUGCGGGGGGAUCAGUGGCGAACGGGUGAGUAACACGUGGGCAACCUGCCCUCAGCUCUGGGAUAACUCCAAGAAAUUGGGGCUAAUACCGGAUAUGACUGCUGACCGCAUGGUCUGGUGGUGGAAAGAUUUAUCGGCUGGGGAUGGGCCCGCGGCCUAUCAGCUUGUUGGUGGGGUAGUGGCCUACCAAGGCGACGACGGGUAGCCGGCCUGAGAGGGUGACCGGCCACACUGGGACUGAGACACGGCCCAGACUCCUACGGGAGGCAGCAGUGGGGAAUAUUGCGCAAUGGGCGGAAGCCUGACGCAGCGACGCCGCGUGGGGGAUGACGGCCUUCGGGUUGUAAACCUCUUUCAGCAGGGACGAAGCGGAAGUGACGGUACCUGCAGAAGAAGCACCGGCCAACUACGUGCCAGCAGCCGCGGUAAUACGUAGGGUGCAGGCGUUGUCCGGAAUUAUUGGGCGUAAAGAGCUCGUAGGCGGUCUGUCGCGUCGGCUGUGAAAACCCGAGGCUCAACCUCGGGCCUGCAGUCGAUACGGGCAAACUAGAGUACUGCAGGGGAGACUGGAAUUCCUGGUGUAGCGGUGAAAUGCGCAGAUAUCAGGAGGAACACCGGUGGCGAAGGCGGGUCUCUGGGCAGUAACUGACGCUGAGGAGCGAAAGCGUGGGGAGCGAACAGGAUUAGAUACCCUAGUAGUCC